rnacentral:rRNA from 1 species
AUUGAACGCUGGCGGCAUGCCUUACACAUGCAAGUCGAACGGUAACGCGGGGCAACCUGGCGACGAGUGGCGAACGGAUGAGUAAUGCAUCGGAACGUGCCUGGUAGUGGGGGAUAACUGCUCGAAAGAGCAGCUAAUACCGCAUACGACCUGAGGGUGAAAGGGGGGGAUCGCAAGACCUCUCGCUAUCAGAGCGGCCGAUGUCGGAUUAGCUAGUUGGUGGGGUAAAGGCCCACCAAGGCAACGAUCCGUAGCUGGUCUGAGAGGACGACUAGCCACCCUGGGACUGAGACACGGCCCAGACUCCUACGGGAGGCAGCAGUGGGGAAUUUUGGACAAUGGACGCAAGUCUGAUCCAGCCAUGCCGCGUGCGGGAAGAAGGCCUUCGGGUUGUAAACCGCUUUUGUCAGGGAAGAAAUCUUCUGGGCUAAUACCCUGGGAGGAUGACGGUACCUGAAGAAUAAGCACCGGCUAACUACGUGCCAGCCGCCGCCGCAGUAA